UACGUAGGGUGCGAGCGUUGUCCGGAAUUAUUGGGCGUAAAGAGCUCGUAGGCGGUUUGUCACGUCUGCUGUGAAAAUCCCCGAGGCUCAACCUCGGGCCUGCAGUGGGUACGGGCAGACUGGAGUGCGGUAGGGGAGAAUGGAAUUCCUGGUGUAGCGGUGAAAUGCGCAGAUAUCAGGAGGAACACCGGUGGCGAAGGCGGGGUCUCUGGGGCCGUAACUGACGCUGAGGAGCGAAAGCGUGGGGGAGCGAACAGG
rnacentral:rRNA from 1 species